GAUGAAGAACGCAGCGAAAUGCGAUAAGUAGUGUGAAUUGCAGAAUUCAGUGAAUCAUCGAAUCUUUGAACGCACAUUGCGCCCCUUGGUAUUCCAUGGGGCAUGCCUGUUCGAGCGUUAUUUGUACCUUCAAGCUUUGCUUGGUGUUGGGUGUUUGUCCUGAGGGACUCGCCUUAAAGUAAUUGGCAGCCAGUGUUUGGUUUUGAAGCGCAGCACAAGUCGCGAUUCAAAGCUAUACGCCCGCUUCCACAAGCCUUUUUCACUUUUGACCUCGGAUCAGGUAGGGAUACCCGCUGAACUUAAGCAUAUCAAUAAGCGGAGGA
rnacentral:misc_RNA from 1 species